rnacentral:rRNA from 1 species
ACGCGAAGAACCUUACCAGGGCUUGACAUCCCUCUGACAGUCCCUUAACCGGGACCUUCUUCGGACAGAGGAGACAGGUGGUGCAUGGUUGUCGUCAGCUCGUGUCGUGAGAUGUUGGGUUAAGUCCCGCAACGAGCGCAACCCUUGUCUUUAGUUGCCAUCAUUCAGUUGGGCACUCUAGAGAGACUGCCGAGGAUAACUCGGAGGAAGGUGGGGAUGACGUCAAAUCAUCAUGCCCCUUAUGCCCUGGGCUACACACGUGCUACAAUGGCUGGUACAAAGAGACGCAAGACCGCGAGGUGGAGCAAAUCUCAAAAACCAGUCCCAGUUCGGAUUGCGGGCUGCAACUCGCCUGCAUGAAGUUGGAGUUGCUAGUAAUCGCAGAUCAGAAUGCUGCGGUGAAUGCGUUCCCGGGUCUUGUACACACGC